rnacentral:rRNA from 1 species
AGAGUUUGAUCAUGGCUCAGAAUCAACGCUGGCGGCGCGCCUAACACAUGCAAGUCGAACGAGAAAGUGGAGCAAUCCAUGAGUAAAGUGGCGUACGGGUGAGUAACACGUGGGUGAUCUACCUCUUAGUGAGGAAUAACCCUGGGAAACCGGGGCUAAUACCGCAUAAGCCUUAGCAGGGAAAGUCGAAAGACGCUGAGAGAGGAGCCCGCGGCCGAUUAGCUAGUUGGUGAGGUAAAAGCCCACCAAGGCAGAGAUCGGUAGCCGGCCUGAGAGGGCACACGGCCACACUGGCACUGAAACACGGGCCAGACUCCUACGGGAGGCAGCAGUGGGGAAUCUUGCACAAUGGGGGAAACCCUGAUGCAGCGACGCCGCGUGAGCGAUGAAGCCCUUCGGGGUGUAAAGCUCUUUCGGCAGGGAAGAUAGUGACGGUACCUGCAGAAGCAGCUGCGGCUAACUACGUGCCAGCAGCCGCGGUAAUACGUAGGCAGCAAGCGUUGUUCGGAGUUACUGGGCNNGUAAAAANNNNNNNNAGGCGGUUCUUUAAGUUUGGUGUGAAAUCUCCCGGCUCAACCGGGAGGGUGCGCCGAAUACUGAGGGACUAGAGUGUGGGAGAGGAAAGUGGAAUUCCUGGUGUAGCGGUGAAAUGCGUAGAUAUCAGGAGGAACACCGGUGGUGUAGACGGCUUUCUGGACCAUAACUGACGCUGAGACACGAAAGCGUGGGUAGCAAACAGGAUUAGAUACCCUAGUAGUCC